ensembl:lncRNA
UGGACAAGGAACCAGAAGGUUGCAAGUUCAAACCCCCGAGCUGACAAGGUACUAAUCUGUCGUUCUGCCUGUGAACAGGCAGUUAACCCACUGUUCCUAGGCCGUCAUUGAAAAUAAGAAUUUGUUCUUAACUGACUUGCCUAGUUAAAUAAAGGUUAAAAAAAAAGAUUUUUAAAAAAGUUGGAAGCACAGAAUCGUCUAGAAUGUCAUUGUAUGCUGUAGAGUCAAAAUGUUCCUUCACUGGAACUAAGGGGCCUGAACCAUGAAGAACAGCCCCAGACCGUUAUUCCUCCUCCACCAAACAUUUCUGUUGGCACUGCAUUGGGGCAGUUAGCGUUCUCCUGGCAUUCGCCAAACCCAGAUCCGUCCCUCGGGCUGCCAGAUGGUGAAGCGUGAUUCAUCACUCCAGAGAACGCGUUUCCACUGCUCCAGAGUCCAAUGGUGGUGAGCUUUACACCACUCCAGACGAUGCUUGGCAUUACGCAUGGUGAUCUUAGGCUUGUGUGUGGCUGCUUGGCCAUGGAAACCCAUUUCAUAAAGCUCCUGAUGAACAGUUCUUGUGCUGACGUUGCUUCCAGAGGCAGUUUGGAACUCGGUAAUGAGUGUUGCCACCGAGGACAGACGAUUUUUACGCGCUACGCACUUCUGCACUCAUCGGCCCCAUUCUGUGAGCUUGUGUGGCCUUCCACUUCAGGCUGAGCCAUUGUAAAAUAAUGGAUAAAUAAAAAUAAAUAAAUAAAAAUUGUUGCUCCUAAACAUUUACACCUCACAAUUACAGCACUUCCAGUUGACUGGGGCAGCUCUGGCAGGGAAGACAUUUUACAAACUGACUUGUUGGAAAGGUGCCAUCCUAAAUAAUGCAACUCCCCACUUCCAAAAAAUUAUAGGCAUUUUAACCACACACAGGACCUAACUGCUAUUUUGCUUCUCAAUGAUCAUGCAAGUACCACGCGAAUAGGCUACCUAGUGGUUCCACCUCUGGGCAGCCGAACGUUCUAGGCAGCCCAAGCAUGUGUAUGGAAUGCCUAUUUCUAAAUUGUCGACCAAAUCUUUAAUGUACAACAUGAAGUUUCCCCCCCAUGUUAAUGAGUGGGAAGUGGCAGCGGAGCAGUGGAAGCACUGAGCAGAAGCUACAUAGGUAGCAGAGUGGGCAGAAGCUACGUAGGUAGCAGAGUGGGCAGAAGCUACGUAGGUAGCAGAGUGGGCAGAAGCUACGUAGGUAGCAGAGUGGGCAGAAGCUACGUAGGUAUCAGAGUGGGCAGAAGCUACGUAGGUAGCAGAGUGGGCAGAAGCUACGUAGGUAGCAGAGUGGGCAGAAGCUACGUAGGUAGCAGAGUGGGCAGAAGCUACGUAGGUAGCAGAGUGGGCAGAAGCUACGUAGGUAGCAGAGUGGGCAGCAGCUACGUAAAAAAAACGUGCACAUGCGCAGAAAUCUCCGUAUCAAUAGCCAUGGCAAGUCGGGUUAAUUUAUAAAUGUAUUUUACGUUGGGGGCGAACUCCGACCUUACAGGCGUCCAGAGAAACUGUGUUAUGCAAUUGGUUUGUGUGUGUGUGUGUGUGUGUGUGUGUGUGUGUGUGUGUGUGUGUGUGUGUGUGUGUGUGUGUGCAUCAUCC